rnacentral:rRNA from 1 species
AGUGAACGCUGGCGGUAGGCCUAACACAUGCAAGUCGAACGGCAGCACAGUAAGAGCUUGCUCUUACGGGUGGCGAGUGGCGGACGGGUGAGGAAUACAUCGGAAUCUACUUUUUCGUGGGGGAUAACGUAGGGAAACUUACGCUAAUACCGCAUACGACCUACGGGUGAAAGCAGGGGAUCUUCGGACCUUGCGCGAUUGAAUGAGCCGAUGUCGGAUUAGCUAGUUGGCGGGGUAAAGGCCCACCAAGGCGGCGAUCCGUAGCUGGUCUGAGAGGAUGAACAGCCACACUGGAACUGAGACACGGUCCAGACGCCUAAGGGAGGCAGCAGUGGGGAAUAUUGGACAAUGGGCGCAAGCCUGAUCCAGCCAUACCGCGUGGGUGAAGAAGGCCUUCGGGUUGUAAAGCCCUUUUGUUGGGAAAGAAAAGCAGCAGGUUAAUACCCCGCUGUUCUGACGGUACCAAAAGAAUAAGCACCGGCUAACUUCGUG